AAUCUAUUCUAUACCUCGUUGUCCGUGGCAAUACUUUUAAAGCUGCGCGAUUUCUCGCGGAGCGACUCGAAGAGUUCGGAAUUGAGAUGUUCCAAUUCUUCGCGAUAUAUAAUUUCCUUUAUUUCUUAAAUAAUAUAUGAAUAUUUAUUACGAUAAAUAAAAAUGUUUCUUUAAAACGUUAAUAUCAUAGUGACAAAGAAUUAGGCUCGUUCAAAUAGGAUUAUACAAACUUAUAAAUACUUUAAUUACAUAAACUUUAAGGAGAAGAAAAAUGGGUAAUGUUAUGAAUUUUGCUGUGUCGGCAGCCGAUGAAAUUAUACCGAAGCAACCGCAAAUUCAAAAAGUUCAGCAUCAUGAAAAACACAAACCAGAAGGAGAGCCUCCUCCGGAAUGCCCUAUGCAUAAGUCGUCGACAAAAGAACCUACUAAAUCUGCUAGCGAAUGUCCAGUCAAUGACAUGUCCAAAGAUGAAAUUAAUCCCCUUAACAUGAUGCCAGCAGCUAAUCAACAACCUGCACCAGAUCAACCGUUCCCAUUACCUACUGAGAGACAAGUUUCUUCCAUACCAAAAGCAACGGAGGAAGGUGAAUUUUGGGUAUAUCCGUCUCAGCAAAUGUUUUGGAAUGCCAUGCUUAGAAAAGGAUGGCGUUGGAAAAAUGACGAUAUAUCUCCUAAAGACAUGGAUGAUAUAAUAAAAAUUCACAAUGCCAACAACGAACAAGCUUGGAAAGAAGUUCUGAAAUGGGAAGCGCUCCAUGCAAGGGAAUGCGAUAGUCCGAAACUGCGUAGCUUCGGUGGUAAAGCCACGAAAUAUUCGCCGCGUGCACGGAUUCGAUAUUGGAUGGGAUACGAAUUGCCAUUCGAUCGACAUGAUUGGAUCGUAGACAGAUGCGGUAAAAAUGUGCGAUAUAUAAUAGAUUAUUACGACGGUGGACAAGUGGACGAAAAGUAUACGUUCGCUUUAUUAGAUGUUAGACCAGCUAUGGAUUCUUUAGAAAAUAUUUGGGAUCGCAUGCGGGUGGCAUGGAUGCGUUGGAAAUACUGUAACGAGUCACAGGAAUCAGAGUGUGCGUCGAAAGCCGAAUGAAAAAGAAGAUUAGAAAAGAUUAAAUAGAACCGAGUUUCGCAAUCACAUGCUCGUUUUGUAUAAUUUAAAAACUCGUUUCUUAUCUAUCAUUUAUCGCUUUAUCGACAGCGCUAAAAUCCGUUCAUUCGUUUAAAAUUUCUUUAAAAACGCUGUGUACGUCGAACGAAACUGUGUUCUGAAAGUACAAAGAAAUUAUAACGAACCAAAGCUCGCUUCUCGCGUAACAACGAUACGUUGAAACGCGAGAAUACUGCCUGAAAUUCAAAGGUCGAAACAUAAAAAAUUUCCAAAAUAAUUUAUGUUAAAAACAAAUAUAUUUUCCAAUCGCUAUUUAAAAGUUUGAACAUCUUAAAUGACAGUAAAUACAUGAUACAAUAUUCUACGUUUAAUAAUUAUCUGUUAAGUUAUGGCCGAAUACGUAUAUCCCGUAUAAAUAUGUAUAUAUUGCAUUAUUAUACAGUAUGUAAUUAACGCAUUGUCGACUGUUACAAAAAUGUUUAAUAUGUAUAUAACGUUAGGUAUUAAAUCGAGAUUUCGAUAAUAAUAUUGUGUUAUUAUGGAAUUACAUCGGUUACAGAGUA
rnacentral:misc_RNA from 1 species